UUUUUUCUCCUAAUUUGAGCUCCACCUGUCCUUCCCGCCGAUUGGCCCAGUGAGCUAAGAAAUCAGGAUGGGGGAGCAACUUUUGCAUUAAAUACAGCUCACAAAUGAUCUUUCCUGCCCAUUCUCAAACCAUGAAAUUUCCGCACUUCCUGAUAUAGAGGCCUCAGAAACAUCUUUGAUUCCUUUCUCCAGGGGCUCACUAAGCCCUGUGGUUCUACGUCUAUUAUUAAUUCUUUCAACAAGUAUUUAUGAGGCCUGCUAUGUGACAGGCUCCAUACUUGGCACGGUGGAUAAAAAGAGGAAUAUGACACAGAUUGCAAAAGAGAGACAAGUAAACGGAAAUCAGAGCAUAGUGAUUGUGUAAUAUGUGUAGAGGCUGAUUUAAUCACAGGGAGCACAGAGGACGGUACCUAAAUCAGAAGUGAUCUGGGGAGGUUUCCUGGAAAAGGUUUCAAACAAAGCCAUAAAUGUUGAUGUGGAUAUCAGGACAGUGUUUCAAGCAAUUUAGAUACAAUAUAAAAUAUACUGAUGCCAUAGUAGAAGAAGUUGAAGCCACUUUGCCAAGAUAUUUGGUUCUGAUACAAAGGAAUUUUUUCUUGGCCUGGUCUUGACUUAACAGUGACUUUAGUACUAUCCUGUUCAGACACCUCAAGUCUUCAGAAGAAACCAGAUGAUGUGAAAGUAUAUCUAGGUCCCCAAGAGAGAUGCAAAUUACCCCACCAGCUGUAUUCCCUCAUGUCAGGAAAAAGAGGGUCCUAUAUAUUUCUUGUCUAAUACAAAAUCGCAGAAGGCUGAAACACAUUAACUAGAAAAGAGAAUGCAAUUUGGAUUCAACUACCUGCUGUCAUGAAAGGUAACAGUAGUUAAUAAUGUUUGCAAUUCAUGGGAUGUUAGAGAUAAAAGAGUCCUCAAAUAUCCUCCAGCAAAAUCUCUCUCCUUUUACAAAUGGGCAAACUAAGGACAAGAGAAGAAAGAUGAGUCAAGCCUUCAGUCUUAUGCUGUGAUCUGAUGGUGAGCUAUAAAAUCACUGUCAAGAGAGCCCUUCCAACCACCUGUGCUCCUGGAAUUCAUGAGGGAAACACAUUCCUAAAACAAAACUAGCAACAUCAAGAUAUUACCAAAUGCUAGGCCAGGCGCUGUGGCUCACGCCUGUAAUCCCAGCAGUUUGGGAGGCCGAGGCAUGUGGAUCACGAGGUCAGGUGAUCGAGACCAUGGCGAAACCCCGUCUCUACUGAAAAUACAAAAAUUAGCUGGGUGUGGCAGAGGGUGCCCAUAGUCCCAGCUACUCGGGAGGCUGAGGCAGGAGAAUGCCGUGAACCCGGGAGGCGGAGCUUGCAGUGAGCCGAGAUCACGCCACUGCACUCCAGCCUGGGUGACAGAGCAAGACUCUGUCUCAAAAAAAAAAAAAAAAAAAAAAAAAAGAUAUUACCAAGUGCUCUUUUUCCACUCUUAUUCUUCAAUCUCCAGUAAUUUAGCACUCUGUUAACUAUAUUAUAAUCUAAAAAGUUCAGGAAUAAGCUGGGCACUGUGGUUCAAGCCCGUAGUCCCAGCACUUUGCAGAUCACUUGAGCCAAGGAGUUCAAGACCAGCCUGGGCAACCUGAUGAAAGCACAUUUCCACCAAAAAAAAAAAAAAAAAA